rnacentral:rRNA from 1 species
UACGUAGGGUCCGAGCGUUGUCCGGAAUUACUGGGCGUAAAGAGCUCGUAGGUGGUUUGUCGCGUUGUUCGUGAAAACUCACAGCUCAACUGUGGGCGUGCGGGCGAUACGGGCAGACUAGAGUACUGCAGGGGAGACUGGAAUUCCUGGUGUAGCGGUGAAAUGCGUAGAUAUCGAGAGGAACACCUGCGGCGAAGGCGGGUUGCUGGGCUGAUACUGACGCUGAGGCGCGAAAGCCAGGGGAGCGAACGGG